UACGUAGGGUGCGAGCGUUGUCCGGAAUUAUUGGGCGUAAAGAGCUCGUAGGCGGUCUGUCGCGUCGGUCGUGAAAACUUGGGGCUUAACCCUGAGCUUGCGGUCGAUACGGGCAUGACUGGAGUUCGGUAGGGGAGACUGGAAUUCCUGGUGUAGCGGUGAAAUGCGCAGAUAUCAGGAAGAACACCUAUGGCGAAGGCAGCUCUCUGGGACGGUACUGACGCUGAGACGCGAAAGCGUGGGGAGCAAACAGG
rnacentral:rRNA from 1 species